UGCCUCAUUUGAAGUACUCAGUGUGGGCACAUCUCAUUUUGUGUUUGCCAAACGAUGCAAUGAGGCUACAGAAAACACAGGUUCUGCUUCCAUCAUUGUAAAACAAGUUAUAUUGAUGACAAUGAGACCUGGGAUAAAU